GGAUAAGUCACUGAUGGAAGAGGUGAAGGCUAUAAAUAAACACCGUUUUCAGGUUUUAUUUAGUAGAGGCGCCCCCGUGCAAAGCUCCUUCACAAAAAUCGAAUUAGGUGAAAAUGUGACAGAGACAUAAUUAUCAUUACAAAGUUGAUAAACAGAAACAAGGUUCUCUUUCAUCUUAGACACAUAAAACAUUGGACAAAGUUAAAGGGCGAGAGAUGAUGGUAAAGAAGCGGUUCUCGUAUGAGUGAUUUUGUGUUCAUUACCAUCACCAAGCAUUAUGUCUUCACUGCCAUCAUAAUUAAAGUGAAGGAAAAAAUUCUGGAUAUCCUGCCUGACGUGAUGAGAUGC
rnacentral:misc_RNA from 1 species